GCAAAAAAGACGUUAAAAUCUGGUUUAAGAGCAAAAAAACUACCUGUGCCAAUCAGUUUUUGCCAUUUAUGGGCUUUACCCUAUAAAAGAAAACCAUUUUAUGCAUUUAAAUGACCUUACACGUUAUCAGUUUAUUAAGCGUUUAGACUAUGUAGACACACUCACUGUGCACUAAAAUUAAAAAAAUUGGUUAACACGACCACUCGUGGUGGCUUCACUCAGAGGUUGGAGAAGACAACCGGUGGACUAAACAUCAAGCCUCUGCACGAUUCAGAAUUAAGACAACCUUAGCAGGAGAGCCCCAGCAGUAACUUUCUCUCAAGCAGAUGAGCAAUAAGUUGCUUUGUAUGAACACCACCCUAACAAUCAAGUAGCCUGUUAACAGUAGACCAAAGGUAUGAUGAUCAAUUAUAUAUGCAAUAUGGUUGAAAGGUCAGUAAACAAACAACAAAAAGGUAAUUUCUUAAUAGAAUGUCUAUACAUUUUUUGCUUUUGUUACAUAUUUCAUACAUCAAAAUCAUUAAACGUUAAUAAUUAUGUAUUCCAACUUGUUGCAGCUUGACAAAAAUGUAGCUUGAAGGAGAAGGGACAGCUGAGUAACAAAGUCCUGGUACGCAGACGACGAUACUAUUACACUGACAAGAGUGUAAUGAUGAUGGAGACACAAGCCAGAGAAAGGGGGACCAAACACCAGGCCAGAAUUCUGCAUGAGUCAGGUAAGCAUAAUGAGUUACACCAGUGGUUCUCAACUCUGUUCAUGGAGUCCCACUGCUCUGUGCAUUCUGUAUGUCUCUUUGAUUUGAAGACUAAGGCUGCAUCCAAAUAUCACUUUGUGCAUCCUA